rnacentral:rRNA from 1 species
UACGAAGGGUGCAAACGUUGCUCGGAAUUAUUGGGCGUAAAGCGCACGUAGGCGGCUUUGUAAGUUAGAGGUGAAAGCCUGGAGCUCAACUCCAGAAUUGCCUUUGAUACUGCAUGGCUUGAAUCCAGGAGAGGUGAGUGGAAUUCCGAGUGUAGAGGUGAAAUUCGUAGAUAUUCGGAAGAACACCAGUGGCGAAGGCGGCUCAC